rnacentral:lncRNA from 1 species
CGGUUUAUAGGCCGGCUCCCUCCUCCCCUCUGCCCAUUUGAAACCGAGAGCACCAUUGUUGUUCUUGGAGCUUCUUCUUGCUUGUUCUUCAUUUGUUCUUCAUCUCCAACGCCCAUCGUUGAUCUUCUUCGACUCCGUCAUUGUCUCUUCGUGCUUGGAGGUGACUAACUUCAGCCUUUCUUGUCUUUUUCACGUUGUUUUUGGCUUGUGAUGUUCCCAUCAUUUUUUAGCUCAAAUCCACUUUGUUAUUUUGAAUCAUUCACAUGAAUUAGUAUCCAUAUAUAUAUAUCAUAUUUCAUGGUUGACCUAGUUUUAAUGUAUUUUGCAAGAAUGAAUUAUAGUAUAUUUUUAUGAUCAUAGAAAGUAGGAUAGUUCAAAUUAAUUGGUUUGUUAAUAUCACUUGAUUUAUUUUUAUUACUACAUAUAAUGUUCAUUGUAUCAUACAUGUUUACUAGUAAAUGUGGAAUUUAUAAUUGUUUAAAAAUUGAGUAUGGAUAGUAGAUGGCAACCGUGACCGGGUCUUCGGUCUCUCAACGGGUUCAAAAGCGAUACCGUCCGGAACUCCCUCUCAUUACUUGUGGCAA